ACGCUCGACACCUACGGAGGCAGCAGUGGGGAAUAUUGCACAAUGGGGGAAACCCUGAUGCAGCGACGCCGCGUGAGUGAAGAAGUAUUUCGGUAUGUAAAGCUCUAUCAGCAGGGAAGAAGAUGACGGUACCUGAGUAAGAAGCCCCGGCUAACUACGUGCCGGCAGCCGCGGUAAUCUGAGCGGCUGGCAAGGC
rnacentral:rRNA from 1 species